rnacentral:rRNA from 1 species
AGCGAACGCUGGCGGCAGGCCUAACACAUGCAAGUCGAACGAACCCUCCGUGGUUAGUGGCGGUUGGGUGAGUAACACGGGGGAACGUGCCUUUAUGCUCCGGAUAACUCAGUGUCACUUGUGCUAAUACCGAAUGAGCUCUGCUAGUGCAGGAUUAAUCGGCUUUAGAGCGGCCGGCGUCCGUCUAGCCAGGUGAGUUUGGUAAUGGCGCACCAGGGCGACCUACAGUACCUGGUCUGAGAGGAUGAGGAGACACAUUGGUACUUGGACGCGGCCGAUACUCCUACGCGAGGCAGCAGUGGCGGAUCCUGCGCAAUGGGCGAAGGCAUGACGCAGCCAUGCCGCGUGAAUGCUGAAGGUCUUAGGGAUGUACAGUUCUUUCACAGGCGACGAUAAUGACGGUACCCGGAGAAGAAGCCCCGGCUAACUUCGUG